AUAGAUAUGCAUAAACACGCACGCACACAUACAUGUACAUACACACAACACAUAAAUACAUAUAUAUGUACAAACAUAUAACAUGUAUACAUACAUAUACAUAAACGUUUAUAUAUACUUAUAUACAUGCAAAUAAAUAUAUACAACUAUCCAAACACUCACACAUAUCUAUACACACUCAGACACAUAUACCCACAAAACACGUACAUAUCAAUUCAUACGCAGAUACACCCAUACUUAGAAUACAUUUGUACAUAAACAGAGCAAUAAAAAAAAAGAAAAGAAAAGAAAAGAAAAGAAACGUAAAAGUCCCUGUUAAUAGUUUGCUAACAGGUGAUCUGUGAACUCAUUUCUCAGAAUGGCAUGUCUUGGGACAGUGUAUUUUAUUUCAUGUCGUUGCUAUCUCAGGACUAAAUAACAAUAUUUCGUAUGGAGAUUACCUGUGAUCGAUCCUGAGGAAUCAUUACGUCGGUAUUAAUUACUUUAGCACUGAUGCAUCAAGAGUUAUGGAAACAGACCGCAUUUCUUUCUUUAGCAAUAGCAGCAGCUUGCCUUUUAAUUUCCAUUUGAACUCACGUCUCAAUUAACAACGGAUGGAACAAAUCUUAACUUGGAUUAUGGAUGAUGGCAGCAAAUGACUAAAGUAUAAUCAUGACUCAGAGGAGACGAAACUUACCAAAUCGUGAUGCCUUCAAGGGAUUACCUGGACUGGAUUCGUUGCUAAUUAAUUCAUUAUUUUUUAAUAAGUUUCACAUCGAGGCAUUUGUGGCAAGAUACGGUUAACCAGACGGAUAGACAGGCGCACUCAUUUACUGUACCAUUGAUUUAUAUAAUAUUAUAACUUACUGUACAGUAGCGUAAAUGUAGUAGUAGUAGUAGUAGUAGUAGUAGUAGUAGUAGUAGUAGUAGUAGUAGUAGUAGUAGUAGGUGCUCGUGGUAUAGUAGUAAGCUGAAGGGCAUAUGUUGUAACGGAAAUCAAUCAAAUCAUUUUAAUUAACUCAAACGUUCGAAUUGAGUAUUCCAGACACAAGUGUGUGUCGACUUCCAUUGAAACAUGGUAGUUGAUAAACUUCAAUUAAAGUAUAUCAUAAGGUACUUGACCAUGUUGAUUUCAUAACAUAAGCGCUGUAAAAUCUUCAUCCUGCCGGUACUUUUCGGAUUUUUUAUUGAGGAACGAGGAAAUUACAGUUAUGAUAGGCUGCGAUUUAUUUAUUACUCCUUUUCAUGUGCUUGGUGAGUAUGACCUCUAAGAAUGCUAUUAUGGCACUCAACGCUGGAACAUUAAAUUGUAGAUACAGAGUUUGUUUUAGCUAAACUCUUCAACAUGCGAACUUGGUAACAAUCACAAGCAGAACCCUCUUCAGUGGAGUUAGACUUUUAUUAAGUAUCUGUGGUACGCGGUUUUCAUGACAAGGCGUUUUAUCUUUAGUGAAGACUAUGACAUUUCGAUUAUCUCAGUAUUUGAUAUGAGCAUUGUGAUGAGUAACCUCAGUUUAAUACGGUCGACCUUCCCCUUGCAUUUAUCGUUUGGAUGAAACCAUCAGAGCAAAGUUUCUCUAGCUUCAAGCAGUCAUCCUGAUUAAGUCUGUCCCGUUGAUGUGGGGCGCUCAAAAUUUAGCCGUUUUUCAGGAGACGCAUGCAAAAGUCAGGCCGAAUUACAAGGAGCGAUUCCUCUAAGAAGGCACUCCAUCGUAUCUCUGGUAGAUUUCUUGUACGAAAAGCAAAUGUUAUUGAUCACCAUACAGUUCUGUUUAGACAUUCUACUUUGGGUUUUCGAUAGGAUUCUAUAGAAUUAUUUUAGUGUGGUUAAUAACAUCUUGAGACAUAAAUUGAGAUUGAAGCUGGAGAACCAAACAUAAAUGAUAUUCUGCGUUAAAUUAAGAAACAGUAACGAGUGAAAGUUCUGUAAAUAAUUAUAAGCUUUAGCUUAAGUUCGCUGUAUAUUGGCAAUAGAAAAUAGAAAAAUAUUGGGGUAUAUAAUCCCUCUACAAAACUAGAUUGGGUAUUUGUGCGCGUGGGUCAGCACACUAAACGUGAAAAUAAGGGGUGUGGAUUCGAUUCCCACGCGUACUGAUACCCAUAUAUUUUCUGUCGACGUGGGGCGGUUAUAUGCCCCAGUAUUAUACUAUUUUCUAUUUCCAAUACACGGCGAACACUUAUGAUUAUUAUUUACUUAUAUAUUUUGAAGACAGCGAAUUGAUUCAGGAGUUGCCAUAUCAGAACACGCAAACAUCAUUGCAAACCUUCAAAAAUUCACAUUUAACCACAAUUUCAAUAGAGGUAUAAAUCAGACGAUGUUAGAGGUUAGUGUUUUGUAGAUUUCGAUUCAAAGUAUACACUGCAUUCAUCUCGAGAUACUUUUAUAUUUCUUCAAGAGAAAAUAGCAACUUCUGAGAUGUGACAGUGCUAUAAUCAUGUCACUUCUGGAUGGCACAACAUUUUUAUAUAUGAUUCCAAGUGAUGUUAUAAAGGUGAUUUUAUUAACUGUAGGUUAUGAAUGUACAAUUGCUUACAAUUACGAGGACUAAUUAUUCUUAAUGGACCGUUUAAGAUUAAGGGUCAUAGGGUUACUGCAGUCUUGGAAACAGAAUACAAACUAGUGACGAUUUGAUUGCUAAUGUGGGGCUCCUCACAAUGAACUACGUUGACAGAUGGCACACUGAAUCCUGUUUGAGGCAAGAGAAGCUGCUCAACAUUAUUACUGUGUUUCAUGGACAACAGAUAGUAAAAACAAGCAGGAAUACUGACAUAUUGAACAAAUGAUAAGGGAUAUUGUUGAGGGUGUCUCUACUUAUCGAAUAUCUGUACUUGAGGUUAAUACCAAGUAGAUUUGUAAUAAAGAAUCGUUUUACUUGGGGAAUUCAAUUAAAUCCAAUUCGGAAAACUAUUUCGCAAGAUUCAUAUAACAUAAUAUCAGUGGCACUUGCGUGUGCGUGCGUACGUGUGUGUGUGUGUGUGUGUGUGUGUGUGUGUGUGUGUGUGUGUGUGUGUGUGUGUGUGUGUGU